UCAGCAACAUUUGACAGUGACAAAGAUUUUCACAUUGUGUGUAUUUCUUUGGUCACUUUUCAGCAUUUGGAUGAAUU